rnacentral:rRNA from 1 species
CAGCAGCCGCGGUAAUACGUAGGGUGCGAGCGUUGUCCGGAAUUACUGGGCGUAAAGAGCUCGUAGGUGGUUUGUCGCGUCGUCUGUGAAAUCCCGGGGCUUAACUUCGGGCGUGCAGGCGAUACGGGCAUAACUAGAGUGCUGUAGGGGAGACUGGAAUUCCUGGUGUAGCGGUGAAAUGCGCAGAUAUCAGGAGGAACACCGAUGGCGAAGGCAGGUCUCUGGGCAGUUACUGACGCUGAGGAGCGAAAGCAUGGGUAGCGAACAGGAUUAGAUACCCUGGUAGUCCAUGCCGUAAACGGUGGGCGCUAGGUGUGGGGGUUUUAUUUACGAUUCCCGUGCCGUAGCUAACGCAUUAAGCGCCCCGCCUGGGGAGUACGGCCGCAAGGCUAAAACUCAAAGGAAUUGACGGGGGCCCGCACAAGCGGCGGAGCAUGUGGAUUAAUUCGAUGCAACGCGAAGAACCUUACCUGGGCUUGACAUACACCGGAUCGCUGCAGAGAUGUAGUUUCCCUUGUGGCUGGUGUACAGGUGGUGCAUGGUUGUCGUCAGCUCGUGUCGUGAGAUGUUGGGUUAAGUCCCGCAACGAGCGCAACCCUUGUCUUGUGUUGCCAGCACGUUAUGGUGGGGACUCGCGAGAGACUGCCGGGGUUAACUCGGAGGAAGGUGGGGAUGACGUCAAAUCAUCAUGCCCCUUAUGUCCAGGGCUUCACACAUGCUACAAUGGUCGGUACAGUGGGUUGCGAUACCGUGAGGUGGAGCUAAUCCCUUAAAGCCGGUCUCAGUUCGGAUUGGAGUCUGCAACUCGACUCCAUGAAGUCGGAGUCGCUAGUAAUCGCAGAUCAGCAACGCUGCGGUGAAUACGUUCCCGGGCCUUGUACACACCGCCCGUCGCGUCAUGAAAGUUGGUAACACCCGAAGCCAGUGGCCCAAACUUGUUAGGGAGCUGUCGAAGGUGGGAUUGGCGAUUGGGACGAAGUCGUAACAAGGUAGCCGU